UCUCUGAAAUAGGACUUUCUGUUAGAAAUGAUGGUGUCUUAUAAUCACAAUAAAAAUGUUUUUUCUUCCUAGUGGUAUGUAAAAUAAUGUUAUUUUAGACUUGAUAAAGUAUGGAGGUUCAUUGCUAACAAAAUACAAAAGACAUUGUUUAUUAAACAUUGUUCUUUUCAGUCCUGGGUCAUACUAUGCGAGGGUGACCAUCCACAUGCAAUGAAAGACAGGGUGAUAGAAAGAAGACCAGAAGGCAUCCAUCAUACAAAGAUUCAUGUAUACCAUGGAGGCAUCUUCUGUCCGUGAAAUUUCAUUGAUUUUAUCACUGAAAGGUGACAUUGCUGCUUAUUUCCUAGGUUUUGAAUAAGUUCUAUUUUAAAUAUAGCUCUAAAUCACAGAUUAAUUCAAUAACCAUUAAUUCAAUAACCUCUACAGAACCUAGAUAAGUUGAAAGUACUUACUCUUGUUAAAAGACACAGUCUUUGCCCUGGGGUAGGUUACAGUUUCAGUUGGGGAGCAGAUAUUCAGAUAACUAAAGAAUACUUUAAAGGAAUGUAGGUACUAUAGGAAGUCAAAAGAUAGAUAAGGUCCUUAAUUUGACUAUUAAACUAAAUAGCUAUAAAGAAUAAACAGUAUUUUAAUACAUAGUUAAGGGUUGGUUUUUAAACACAAUUAGUGUGUCUGUUAAUAAUAAUUGUAUUCACUUUUCUAUAAUUUCACAGAUAUUCUUAGAAAUAUAAUACCAAAGAUAGACAGGAAGUUAAGCUAUGCAAGCUAAUUGUUAGGAUUCCAUUUAUACUUUGGUUCACUCAAAUCAUUGUCAAGCACUAUUAUUUUUUUCCCUCAGAAGACCCACAUUUAGCCUACAGUGCUCCCCAUGAAAUAUGUGACUGAAACUAUCUACUUGGAUAACUAUCCAUGCUAUAAUCUUCAAUCAAUAUUUUACAUAUCAUACACAAGCCCAGAGUUACUAAACUGAGCCAUAAUUCUUAAAUCACAGUUCAUUCAGGAGUAUUUUUUAGUGCCUGCUUGUUUAACACAAUCUUAUAAAUGAUCUUUCACAAAGUAUGUAAAACUCAACACAUAUCUUUAAUGGGCUAAUUGUGCUUCAUUGCAGUGUUGAGUCUAUAAAAGAUUUUUAAUAGUGAGAGAAAUGAUGGCAUUUUCACCUUAAUUUGAAAAUAUAAUUGCCAUUCUAAAUAGCUUUUUUCUAACUUAAGUGCUUAUUGAAAGCAGAAAUUUCCCCCAAACACUAAUAGAGUAUUUAACAUAAUUGCAUUUAUUGAAAGAAAAUCCAAGGGAAAAUAACAUACAGCUAUCUGAAACUAGCAGAAGUAAAUUAUCAAAAGAAAAAGUAAGUUAAAUCUAAAUUUGAGAUCUAAAAUGUAACUAAUAUUCAAUAUAAAUUCAACACAACGUAUACUUAAUUAAACUUAUACAUUUAAAUAUACUGAUGAGAUUCAAGAAAUAAAAGUGAUAUCCUAGAAAUCCAGGAUAACAAGAGCCAUAUGAAAACAAACUGAAACUAACAAGCUAAUCCCUAAUUCAUAGAAUUUACCAUCAUUUGAUUGAAAAAUAAGAAUAUUUUUUAGCUCAACCCAUGGAAAAUUAGAACAAUUGAAAUUAAAUUCAAUCAGUUGUAAAUAUUCCCUUGAGAAAACGAUUUCAUUUUUUACCUGGAGUUUAACCUCUACCCUACUCAAAAUUUUGAAUUCCAAUUCCUUAAUUUCAAUAUACUUAGUGUGGGUUCAGGAUAGUAAAAUCACGACUCGUAUUUUAUUAAACUUUAUUCUAAAAUGGCAAUAAAGUGAUCCAUAUGGAAAUAUGUGGAAUAGUUCUCUCUCCCUAACUCUUCAGUUCUGUUUCUAAGCCGACAUCCACAUAUGAUGGACUGAUUCUGAAUGGACAUAUUUCCCAUUACAAUCUCAAGUCUGUGAGUCCUACUUUUGCUAUGUAAUAACAUAUAUUUAUAAAUAUUAUGGAUACUCAGCAAAGAGCUUUUUAAUACCAGAUUUGAAAAAAGUUCUGUCCGUUCGUGGUAGCUUUUCUCCUACGUUGAAGUAAAAAGUGCCAGAGACUGCUUUUAAACAAUAAGCGCUAAGAAAACUGAUUAAACUGGUUAGACACAAAAGGAACACUGGAGGAAAGGAAAUAGCUUGGGAUUGAACCCUAUGAUUUUAUUGUUUUCACAGAAAAUGCAAUAACUCCUCAUUGAUACCAACUACCCAGUUGCAAGAAGAGUAUAAACCUUCUGCUUUGUUGAGACACAGAGUUCAACCAGAUGACCAGAUGAUGCUGUAAUCUUUUUAGCCACAAAAGCACCUGAAGGUCUCUUCUCUACUCAGGUCAAGAUUAUCUUUUAUAUGUAGUUUGGAAUAAGUUAUACUUCCAUGAUGUCUUUUUUAU